rnacentral:tRNA from 1 species
GUGAGCAUAGUUUAAAAAAAACACUAGAUUGUGACUCUAAAGACAGAAACCUUAUUCUUGCACACC